rnacentral:rRNA from 1 species
GUGAGUAACACGUGGGUAACCUGCCUGUAAGACUGGGAUAACUCCGGGAAACCGGAGCUAAUACCGGAUAGUUCCUUGAACCGCAUGGUUCAAGGAUGAAAGACGGUUUCGGCUGUCACUUACAGAUGGACCCGCGGCGCAUUAGCUAGUUGGUGAGGUAACGGCUCACCAAGGCGACGAUGCGUAGCCGACCUGAGAGGGUGAUCGGCCACACUGGGACUGAGACACGGCCCAGACUCCUACGGGAGGCAGCAGUAGGGAAUCUUCCGCAAUGGACGAAAGUCUGACGGAGCAACGCCGCGUGAGUGAUGAAGGUUUUCGGAUCGUAAAGCUCUGUUGUUAGGGAAGAACAAGUGCAAGAGUAACUGCUUGCACCUUGACGGUACCUAACCAGAAAGCCACGGCUAACUACGUGCCAGCAGCCGCGGUAAUACGUAGGUGGCAAGCGUUGUCCGGAAUUAUUGGGCGUAAAGGGCUCGCAGGCGGUUUCUUAAGUCUGAUGUGAAAGCCCCCGGCUCAACCGGGGAGGGUCAUUGGAAACUGGGAAACUUGAGUGCAGAAGAGGAGAGUGGAAUUCCACGUGUAGCGGUGAAAUGCGUAGAGAUGUGGAGGAACACCAGUGGCGAAGGCGACUCUCUGGUCUGUAACUGACGCUGAGGAGCGAAAGCGUGGGGAGCGAACAGGAUUAGAUACCCUGGUAGUCCACGCCGUAAACGAUGAGUGCUAAGUGUUAGGGGGUUUCCGCCCCUUAGUGCUGCAGCUAACGCAUUAAGCACUCCGCCUGGGGAGUACGGUCGCAAGACUGAAACUCAAAGGAAUUGACGGGGGCCCGCACAAGCGGUGGAGCAUGUGGUUUAAUUCGAAGCAACGCGAAGAACCUUACCAGGUCUUGACAUCCUCUGACAACCCUAGAGAUAGGGCUUUCCCUUCGGGGACAGAGUGACAGGUGGUGCAUGGUUGUCGUCAGCUCGUGUCGUGAGAUGUUGGGUUAAGUCCCGCAACGAGCGCAACCCUUGAUCUUAGUUGCCAGCAUUCAGUUGGGCACUCUAAGGUGACUGCCGGUGACAAACCGGAGGAAGGUGGGGAUGACGUCAAAUCAUCAUGCCCCUUAUGACCUGGGCUACACACGUGCUACAAUGGACAGAACAAAGGGCUGCGAGACCGCAAGGUUUAGCCAAUCCCACAAAUCUGUUCUCAGUUCGGAUUCGCAGUCUGCAACUCGAC